rnacentral:rRNA from 1 species
AUUGAACGCUGGCGGCAUGCCUUACACAUGCAAGUCGAACGGCAGCACGGGGGCAACCCUGGUGGCGAGUGGCGAACGGGUGAGUAACAUAUCGGAACAUACCCUAGAGUGGGGGAUAACGUAGCGAAAGUUACGCUAAUACCGCAUACGAUCUAAGGAUGAAAGUGGGGGGAUCUUCGGACCUCAUGCUCAUGGAGUGGCCGAUAUCUGAUUAGCUAGUUGGUGAGGUAAAGGCUCACCAAGGCGACGAUCAGUAGCUGGUUUGAGAGAACGACCAGCCACACUGGAACUGAGACACGGUCCAGACUCCUACGGAGGCAGCAGUGGGGAAUUUUGGACAAUGGGGGCAACCCUGAUCCAGCAAUAGCCGCGUGAGCGAA